ACUGAAGAAUUGAAACAAAUGGCAUGGAUUUUGUAAGGCGGCUGUGCUUUCUUUCUCCUUCUUGUUCAUCCUUCCCAGGCUGAGGAUGAGAAGGUGAAGAUUGUACAUCAUACCCAUCAGUUAGAGAUUGAGCUACCCAACCCACUGAGGGGACUUUAAUUUACAGAAAGGAAACUGCUAACAGCUAUCUCUAAAUUACAAUGGUGAAGAUUUACCAGAGGGAAGCUUCGGUAAAAUAGGCUUUUUAGUCUUGUCCCUAAUAAGUGUAUGUACCUAUUAGGGUAUAAUGUAAACUACCAUUUUGCUGAAACCGGCUUACAUAAUAAUUUUGUGCCGCUGGUUAACUCCAGUUUACUUUGCAUUUAGUCUUGCCCUUGAUUUUGCGUAAGAAGGGGAACACUGGUUUAUCUGGACUGUGAUAACCUGGAUUAUUUCCUGCUUUAUCUAGGCAAUUAAGUCAGAAUUGUAUACAUUUGUCCAUGGGUGAUAGUUGUUGGUGGCAUUCCAUUACCAUAGCAACAGGCUUCAUUCUUGGUUGCUACUAAUUGCCUCCAGAAUUAUGAGGGUAGGGAGGUUUUCCAGCUGACAGUGCACAGUGUUUGUAGAAAGUGCAAAAAGGGCUCUGUCAGAGCUCUCUAUUUAGAACCAACGGCUCGGGGACCACAAUGACUGAGAUAGAUGUGUUACAAGAACUUCCCAGUGACUUACUGCCCUGACUCUGGUUGCUGACAAAUGCUAUACUGCUACUUGGCUUCUGGGAAACGGAAAAGGUAUUUGGCCUUGGGAGUGUUUCUGUGGAAAGUAUAAUAGCAUGAACACCUGGUUCCCUAUCCUGCUUCUUCAGUCAACUGCCCAAUGGGUCAUUUUAUUUACAUUCCAGAUGUAGCCAAUAAAGAGAAUGAGGUGGCUUCAGUGAAUUCUAAUGGUCAUACUAUAUUCCUUUCAAGGAUAAAGAUCACCUGGGACAUUUCCCUGUUGGACACAUGUCUGUUUCACCAUUACAAAACACAAAAGAACGCACUUGCUGUCAUUUGCUGAAUUUCUCUAAAAGUGCAUCAUAGCGAGGUACAAAAAAGCUUUAAACAAGUAAAAUCUAGGCAACAGGCUCCCUGAAGUGUUGACAGCUCAACUUAAUCAUGAACGUGACUCAAAAAUGUUAAUAAAUAAACCAAGGUAUUGUACAAUUAUAAUAUGCCCCCUCUUCCAAAGUUUUCAAGAUCAAAAUAAUUUUGGAAUAUAUUUAGAAUUUAAAUAAAGCUGCUGUCUUUGGUAAUUAAACUGGUUCCUCUACCUCCAUUUCUUCUCUUCCUUGCUUUCCUCUCCCCUCCCCCAUUCUCUCCAUCAAAAACAAAACAAAAAAAAAACCCAAAACACUUUCUCAGCUUUAAAGUUUGGUUUUUUUUUUUCCUUACAGCAGCCUCUGUGUUAUAUUUCCCGUAUACCUAAAUUAAGACAGUACGAAUUCAGUUCUUGAUUCUGCUUUGUUGAUUGUUGUUUUAUCUUUCAAGUUGUCUAAUAAGAGAGACAUCUAGAUUAUUGUCCUCUGCAGAAAAACCCAAACCAUCUCUAAUGAUCACAUAUAUUUAAACUUUUUUAUCAUAUAAUUAGGAUCCUAAGAUGUAGGUUUUAAAAGCCUUAUAAACAUUUUCUUUUUCUAUUUUCGGAAGCCUUUUUAUUUAGAAAAGAAAAAAGCCAAUACUGUCUUUCCCCCCCACCGCCCUCCACCCCCAUAUCAAAGUAAAUCAAAAGUUUGCUUAGAAUGGAGAAUUUAGGGAUACUGUUUAAGGUAACUCUGGUUUCUCAGGGCAUAACCCAAGACCAGCUCCCUCCUUUUGCAAGUUACAACGUGCCUAAAUAGCCUGGCAUUUCCAAGAGAGGCCAAAGAUCUUUUCCUCUUUUAUGACCCGUUGUAUCCUUUUGAGGCCAAAAAGAACAAGAGGGUCAUUGCCACUUCAGCCCUGUCCCUGUUUGUUCCUUCAUAGCGACUACACAGAUCUUGAAACCUAGUAUUGGCUUAACAUUUGGGCCUGGAACAUCUGGAAAAGGGCCUGAGAGGGAGUGGAGGAGACCCGAGAGGGAGAACUGUUGCGUUUUGUUACACCAGGUGCUAGGAGGAAGCAGCAUUCCCCUUUUUGAUAUGGGAGGCAAAUUCUGCAGGCCCUGGAGUUAGGCUUCAACAAUUGAAGAGGUCAAAGGACAGCUGAGUGGGGUCAGUGAGACACCAUGGGGUGUAUUUUGUUACUUAGUAAAAGGAGCAGCCUCCUAAAACCUUAAAGGAUUCUCUUGAAAAUCUGUGUUGUGAAAAGGUUUUAUGAGUCUCAUGGCAAAAACUCCUGAUUUAUCUAAGGAAUGCUUGCUUUUGUCUAAUGGAAGGAUAAUCCUUACCAAAUGUUGGCAACUACUAUAAGAGUCAAUAUAGGUCUGAAAGAACAGUUAGGGUUUGAGUAUACUUUGCUUUCCAAAAUGUUUAUCGUUUCAAUGCUUGUCUCUCAGUGAAGAAUUUUACAGUGUUGAAAUAUCACCUUUUUCUUUCUUUGCAGCAAAAUGUGGCAAAAAUUUGGUGAGAGGUGGGGUAGGGGUGGGGUAAGGAAUGAGCUUACAUUAAUUUUAAAAUUAUUUUAACAAGCUUUGACUGACUCUAAAGCAGGAUAUUAUUAACUUUUAAAAACACCAAAACUUAACUCUAAAAAAUUCUUUGAAUUUAUUUUUAACAAAAAAGGGGAAUCAAUGAAGUGCCAUUUAGUCUUGGAUUACAAAAGUUUUUUUUUUUUUUUUUUUUAAUUUAGUCGUAUGUCAUAGAAGUGGGUAUCAGUUGACGAAGAACCUUAAACCUGGGGCUUCCCCGACUGUGUUUCUUGUGCAUUUUGUAGUAGUAAGAAGAAAAUCAAUGUCAGAGUCAAGAAUAGAGAAUAAGAAAAGCAAAUAAAGAAUUUUCUUUUUGAAAGAAAAUGGAGACAGAGGGGAAAUUUGCCUGUGGUAAGAGAUCUUUGCCACACAACCCAUGACCUCAAGAUACCACUUAUGUGAUUGAGGAGACUUUGGAAAUGUAUUGCUACCUGGCAGAUAGGUAGCAAAAGGCAGAGGAAUUUGGUGAUAUUUUGAUGUUCAGUUUAUACACUUUACACUUGUGUAUAGAAGAGGAGUGUGUGUAUUGCAACAUGUAUAGUAAGGGGGAAAGAUAAAAUGAUGGCUAGUAUAGAAGAGACUUUAUUAAGCAUUUACGUGCUAAUUUCUAACUUUACAGUAAGUUGGAAUUACAUGUGUGUGUAUGAAUUUUUCCAAUUCUUUUAAAUAAUUAUCCAUUUUAAAGCCACAUAUACCUAAAUGUAAGGCUUAGCUGUGCAAUAUGCUCUGUGUCUAUUUUCUCAAGGUUAAAGUGCCUUUCAACAACUAAUUCAGAAACUUAAGUGUAGUGACUGAUAAUUGCCUAGAGAAAACCCACAGCUGUUUAAGUAGCAUUGAAAUUGUGGCAAAACUGACAAAUACAAUUAGCAACGUUAAUAAGAUAAGAAGAUGGAAAGUCAGGGGCAGAUGACACAGUGGAAAGAUGAAGGUAGUAGGAGCAACACAUCCGUUGAACAGAAUGUUCAUGGUGGCUUUGAAUUGCCAGUGCUUUUUCUUUUAAGCUCAGCCCCUCUUUUACCAGCAGAAGGGUGUUUACAAAUUAAAUAAUUCAUAUAUGCAUGUUCAAUCCUACCUUAUAUCUGACUUUGAAAGAAGACAGCAGUAGCAGCUAAGAAAACCAGUCAGAAUUUGCUGAUUCUAAAGCAACGAUUUUCUUUGCAGUGCCUCUUAAAAAUCAAUUUUAAAUGUAUUUCUAUUUGACUGUAAUUACUGUGAGGGGGAAUUUCUUUACCCCUCUUUGCACCCUUAUAAUUCUUAUGAGUCAACCACACACAUUACAAAGGAGACCAAAGCCCUGUUUCUAGAUUUAGUGACUCAGUAUUACCAAAACAAAACAAAAAAUCUGCAGGUCUUUAAUGUGUUCUUACUAAUUAUAUUGAUCUGGUUAAUAUUCAUAGCCUGCUUCCCAAACAGCUUCUUAGGAAAAUUAAAUGGGGAUAGGGAAAUAAGAAAAAUUAGGCGAAUAUUAUAUGGAAAAUGAUUAAACAUCUGUGUUCUUCCCAUUAUGGUUUUUAAAGCAUCCAAUGAAAUUUGGAAAAUUAUCCUAGUAUCUUUUGAAAUUCUACUCUGCAAAUGGGAAAUUGGUUUUU
rnacentral:lncRNA from 1 species